rnacentral:rRNA from 1 species
UAGUCAUAUGCUCGUCUCAAAGACUAAGCCAUGCAUGUGUAAGUAUAAACGAUUCUAUACUGUGAAACUGCGAAUGGCUCAUUAAAUCAGUUAUAGUUUAUUUGAUAGUAUUUUUUACUACAUGGAUAACCGUGGUAAUUCUAGAGCUAAUACAUGCGAAAGAUCCCGACUUUUGUGGAAGGGAUGUAUUUAUUAGAUAAAAAACCAAUGGAGGGGCAACUCUUCUGGAGAGACUUUCGGGUUUUUCCUAACUUUUGGUGAUUCAUAAUAACUUUUU